GGCAGUGUAGCAUAGUGGUAAGGAGCAGGGCUCGUAACCCAAAGAUUGCUGGUUUAAUUCCAGUUUACUGCUG
rnacentral:tRNA from 1 species